GCCAGUGUGAUGUAGUGGCUUGAGUGUUGGGCUAUGACUCUAGAGACCAGGGUUCAAAUCCCUGUCCAGCCA